AAGGCAUGAGCUUGCUCUCGUGGAUCAGUGGCGAACGGGUGAGUAACACGUGAGCAACCUGCCCCUGACUCUGGGAUAAGCGCUGGAAACGGCGUCUAAUACCGGAUAUGAGCUGCGAAGGCAUCUUCAGCAGUUGGAAAGAUUUUUCGGUCUGGGAUGGGCUCACGGCCUAUCAGCUUGUUGGUGAGGUAAUGGCUCACCAAGGCGUCGACGGGUAGCCGGCCUGAGAGGGUGACCGGCCACACUGGGACUGAGACACGGCCCAGACUCCUACGGGAGGCAGCAGUGGGGAAUAUUGCACAAUGGGCGGAAGCCUGAUGCAGCAACGCCGCGUGAGGGAUGACGGCCUUCGGGUUGUAAACCUCUUUUAGCAGGGAAGAAGCGAAAGUGACGGUACCUGCAGAAAAAGCGCCGGCUAACUACGUGCCAGCAGCCGCGGUAAUACGUAGGGCGCAAGCGUUAUCCGGAAUUAUUGGGCGUAAAGAGCUCGUAGGCGGUUUGUCGCGUCUGCUGUGAAAUCCCGAGGCUCAACCUCGGGCCUGCAGUGGGUACGGGCAGACUAGAGUGCGGUAGGGGAGAUUGGAAUUCCUGGUGUAGCGGUGGAAUGCGCAGAUAUCAGGAGGAACACCGAUGGCGAAGGCAGAUCUCUGGGCCGUAACUGACGCUGAGGAGCGAAAGGGUGGGGAGCAAACAGGCUUAGA
rnacentral:rRNA from 1 species